UCUCCUGCAUCACAGGCAUUAUUCUCCUGCUUCCCAAACAGAAUAUUUAAGGCAUAAAGAGAUUGAAUAUUUACACUGAAGACAUGUUGAUGAUUAUUAAUAUAUAUGUAGUUCUGCCAGUGGAUUGCCUGUUCUGUGACUGAGAAACAUCCCAAUUUUGUAUGCAAUGACAAUAUCACCUGCGAAAACUAUUUGCUGGACCUCCAAGGUAAAGAGUUUAUAGCAAAAAUAAAUUAUGUGUUGGACCAGAGUUGCCCCACAGUUGUUGAAAAGAAAUUUAGAUGCCACGGGUGUGCUUGUACAGAACAAAGGCCAUGGGAAGACAAAGGCAAGGAGAGAGGCCUUAGAAGAAACUGAACCUGCUAACACCUUGACAUUGGACUUCUACCUUCCAGAACUGUGAGAACUUAGCUUUCUUCUAUUGAAGGACCCCAGUCUAUGGUAAUUUGUUAUGGCAGCCCAAGCAAAUGAGCAAACGAAUGCAACAUUUAAAUUUCCAUUCCCCUUUCUGAGUUGACUGGCAAGGCCCUCUUGAAGACCUGCUUAACUAAUCUGUUCCAUGAAGUCCCUUGGCCAAGCCUGGACAGACUAUUCACUCAUUGCCUUAGACACUUCGUGGAGAGUUUCACCCUGAAGACUUUGUCUCUAGUCCCAAGCCAAGUAGCCUUCUUCUAUACUUGACUACUUUCCUCAUCACUCACAAUGGGUGAGUGCAGCUUUCAGCUGAAACAUGUUACAUGAAAUA